AGCUUUAUAGUGGAAAAUAAGACGUUAGAUUGCAAAUCUGAAGAUGUAGGUUAUUACUGAAGCUU
rnacentral:tRNA from 1 species